GCAAACGUAUAGUCUAUGUAGUGAUAAUUGUUUACAAUAUGAAAUAUUAUAAGCGCAGAGGGUAUUUUGAAUUUAUUUCUCAUUUGAAAUUGUAGACUUGAAGAGAAUGUUUUGUUGCAUUGAGAUGGGUUUUGUUAAUUCCAUCUGAUUGAUCUGAUUUAUAUUUAUACCUAUAAUAUAAUCAAAAUUAUUGAUUUGUAACGAUGACAAACGAAUUUAUUAACAAGGUCAUCAUUAUUAAUUGAGUUAAGUGCCAGGACAACAUUGGGUUACCGAAGAUGGAUGUCCUAUAAUGGGCCCUGAAGAACUGUUAUGAAAUAGCUAACGCAUGACAAGAUUUAAUUUGAGAAUUUUAAGGAUGAUAUUAUGGUUGCUGUUUGCAUUGCGUGAGAAAUAUCUUCUACACGAUAACAGCACAACUCGCAAAGAAGAAAUGGAACAUUAUAACUAUGUUAUUAUACGUUUAGUAGGUAUUUAACGGGUCCCCAGUUUAAAAAUGAGUAAAAUUUAUUUAGUAGUAAGAUAAUUAUUUGUUCAUACUGUUAAGAUAAUUGAUUACAUAUUUAUAAGUAACUACUUAGUAAUAAAAUUGUUGCUUAUUUAUAAUUUAAUUGUAGAAAACAACAAGAGAUGUAAAUUGUGAAAUUUAGUAACAUGUUGGUUCUCAUUGUUGUAAUUCUACAAUUUUUGAAUUUGUUUACUUUUGUUCAUAAUUAUUCUGCAUACAGACUAAUAAUAUUUACUUGUUUAGUGAAAUAAAGUUCUUUUUCUUA